GUCCUUCCUCCUGUGUGCGCACAACCCACCGGAGGGGUCGGAGGGCUUCGGUGUGGAUCAGAUUGGGGGCGGUGGUGGAGGUCCUGGCACUGCGAUCCUAGGCUUCCAAAACUGACUAAACCAACAUACCUCUCGGACCAUUACUCAUCUGUGCAGUGUGUCACCUACCAGUUCUCCACCAGUCACUCGCCAUUCUGGUUACCAGCUCCACCUGCCUGCCCUCCUGCCGUUCCCUCUGGACUUGGAACUCCCUGGACUCUGGACAUGCUGGAUCAUAGCCACACAGACACUCAGCCUGAAACCGCCCCACAUUUCCCCCCACAUUUCCUCCGAACUGCUCACAAAACGUCACAACCCAGCACCUCGUAUCUAGAUCACCUGCCUGUGCAGUACCAUAGUUACCGUCACCGAACUCCCACAUAGCUACGUUUCAUAGUUGCCUGUUUUUGUGUGAUUGUAAAUAAAUAUAUUCUUUUGGGGAAGCCACUCAGCAUCUGCCUGUGUCUGCAUUUUGUCACAGCUGGAUAGCCCGUACGACAGGCCGGACUGUUAAAUAUUUGAAUGUUAAAUAGUUGAAAACUACGAAAAACUUGACAUAGUAUAGCAUUCCUACUGACACUAAACACUCUGUCUCUGAAGAGAAGUGACUAAUAACAUCCUGUAGUGAAACACUUGUAGCCAGUAGUGAACACUGGUUGAUGGAAGGAUGUUGAUAAUGUUUCCAGGAAGAACAAAAGUCACAUCAGACCAUCUCUUACAAAGUCAGAUAGACAUCACAUUAUCACAAAGACAGAUAUAAAUGUUUGUUUCUAGCUAGCUAUUUGCUGUUCUGUACAUAUAAAUUCUAUUUCACUUGUGCCAUGGUGAACUUAAUGCAUCAAACACACUUGCAAUUAUCCCCUCCCAUCAUACACUCAGGACCAUUCCUCUGCAGAUGAGAAGCGAAUUAGCUUGUUAGGGUAAGUGGAAGACUUCCAAG
rnacentral:lncRNA from 1 species